GGAGGGGGUUAGCGUUGUUCGGAAUUACUGGGCGUAAAGCGCGCGUAGGCGGAUUGGAAAGUUGGGGGUGAAAUCCCGGACCUCAACCCCGGAACUUGCUUUAAAACUUCCAGACUAGAGUUCCAGAGAGGUGAGUGGGAUUCCG
rnacentral:rRNA from 1 species